rnacentral:rRNA from 1 species
AAUGAACGCUGGCGGCAGGCCUAACACAUGCAAGUCGAGCGAGCAUUUCGGUGCUAGCGGCGGACGGGUGAGUAACGCGUGGGAACGUGCCCUUUUCUGCGGAAUAGUCCUGGGAAACUGGGGGUAAUACCGCAUACGCCCUUUUGGGGAAAGAUUUAUCGGAGAAGGAUCGGCCCGCGUUGGAUUAGGUAGUUGGUGGGGUAAUGGCCCACCAAGCCGACGAUCCAUAGCUGGUUUGAGAGGAUGAUCAGCCACACUGGGACUGAGACACGGCCCAGACUCCUACGGGAAGCAGCAGUGGGGAAUCUUAGACAAUGGGGGCAACCCUGAUCUAGCCAUGCCGCGUGAGUGAUGAAGGCCUUAGGGUUGUAAAGCUCUUUCAGCUGGGAAGAUAAUGACGGUACCAGCAGAAGAAGCCCCGGCUAACUCCGUG